GGCUAAAUUCAGCUAGCGCCGAACCCGCC
rnacentral:sRNA from 1 species